AAAUGGGGCUGGGAUAGAAACAAACAUUCAUUUUGACAGAGCUGUGGCAUAAAACAGAUCCUACGAGAGCGUAUUCAUUAUGUAAACUGCUCAGCACCAAGGAAUGCAACGCUGUCAAGUAAUGCAAGAUUUAACCAGAAGAGACUGCAUAUUUGCUUUACCUGAGUCAGCAGCUGUGAUCAAUAAAACAUACUGCUCCUUCCUUUCCCGGUCCAGGCUCUGCACCAAGCGCAGCUCCCCGCUGGCUGAGAGAAUAAAGGCUCCUUCUUCAUUGCCACUCACCAGAACAUAGAUCAGUAACUGCCAAACCAUGCUGACUUAAUCACUGGGGCAAUCCCAAAGAUAGCUACUUUAAUGACAGAAGCUUGGUUAACUGCCUUAACAAGCCUUGGUUAACCCAGGCUUGCUUGCUGCAUCUUUCCCCAAGCUUACAGUGGCUGCGUCCCACGUUCAUCAAUCAUCUCAUGUGACCACUGGGAAUUGCUCUGCCUGGAGCCUUGAUUAAAUGUUUCACUGCAUCCAGAACACUUCAUCAAGCAGCAUAGCCAAAAUCUAGCAUGGCUUGCAAGUGACUCAUACUUCAGCUAUGAGAAGACCAGAAUAAAGAACAUUUUACAUAAAAAUGCCAAAAAGGUUGGUAAUUUAAUCUUGAUUCUAAGUAGGUAUGCAAGGUCUCUGAGAGCAGCAUGUGCUUGCCUAGGCAGACAAUAAGGCAUUGUCUGGGAGCACGUUACCUGCUGUGGUUACAGCUAGCCCUUCCUCAGAGCCCAGAUGAUACAACCACUAAAAAGAAGUGGUACAUUCCUGUGACAGAGCUGCAAAUACUAUUUUUAGUGGAUGUGUAGUAUGAUUUAUCUGUUCGUGCUAAGAGUCCAGCAGUACCUGACCAGAGCUUCCAUUAAAACCAGUGACAUGAGAAACUACAUUCAUUAGCCCAUGAGUAAACAUAUGCGGCUGAUAAAUUGUAUCCCUCCACAUGUUCACGGAAACAGAUGAAUAAACACUAAUGCAGUACACAGAAAUUAACUUCAGAAACUAUUAUUUGUAGCACUUAAUCCUAGCGUGCAUACCAUAAAUCACCAAGGAUGACACAAAUGGUAUUCUGAUACUCCAUUUAAUGAAAUAAACACCGGGUCCAGGCACUCGUCCCAGCUGCUCAGCGACAGAAAGGGCUUCCUGCUCAGAAAUCACAAAGAUGCACUCUGUGCUGUCCAAACUCUG